rnacentral:rRNA from 1 species
AGCUCCAAUAGCGUAUAUUAAAGUUGUUGCAGUUAAAAAGCUCGUAGUUGGAUCUCGGGUUUAGGCUUGCGGUCCGCUCCUUGGCGGUCACUGCUCGUCCUGACCUACCUCCCGGUUUGCCCCUGGUGCUCUUGACUGAGUGUCUCGGGUGGCCGGAACGUUUACUUUGAAAAAAUUAGAGUGUUCAAAGCAGGCUCGCUGCCUGAAUAAUGGUGCAUGGAAUAAUGGAAUAGGACCUCGGUUCUAUUUUGUUGGUUUUCGGGACUUGAGGUAAUGAUUAAGAGGGACAGACGGGGGCAUUCGUAUUACGGUGUUAGAGGUGAAAUUCUUGGAUCGCCGUAAGACGAACUACUGCGAAAGCAUUUGCCAAGCAUGUUUUCA